GUGUAUGGCCAUACCGCCCUGAACACGCCUGAUCUCGUCUGAUCUCAAAAGCUAAGCAGGGUCGGGCCUGGUUAGUACUUGGACAGCAAUACUGGCUGCUGUAGGCU
rnacentral:rRNA from 1 species